rnacentral:rRNA from 1 species
CUACGUGCCAGCAGCCGCGGUAAUACGGAGGGUGCGAGCGUUAAUCGGAAUAACUGGGCGUAAAGGGCACGCAGGCGGUGACUUAAGUGAGGUGUGAAAGCCCCGGGCUUAACCUGGGAAUUGCAUUUCAUACUGGGUCGCUAGAGUACUUUAGGGAGGGGUAGAAUUCCACGUGUASCGGUGAAAUGCGUAGAGAUGUGGAGGAAUACCGAAGGCGAAGGCAGCCCCUUGGGAAUGUACUGACGUUCAUGCCCGAAAGCGUGGGUAGCAAACAGGAUUAGAUACCCUGGUAGUCCACGCCCUAAACGAUGUCGAUUAGCUGUUGGGCAACUUGAUUGCUUGGUAGCGAAGCUAACGCGUGAAAUCGACCGCCUGGGGAGUACGGUCGCAAGAUUAAAACUCAAAGGAAUUGACGGGGACCCGCACAAGCGGUGGAUGAUGUGGAUUAAUUCGAUGCAACGCGAAGAACCUUACCUGGUCUUGACAU